rnacentral:sRNA from 1 species
UCGUACAGGAUGUGCGAAAUUGCAGAGUUUGCUUUUUAGCAAACUCUGAGUGAACAAAAAUACAUGGAUGUAUUUUUGUUCACCCCC